rnacentral:rRNA from 1 species
GACGAAGGGGGCUAGCGUUGUUCGGAAUUAUUGGGCGUAAAGAGCGUGUAGGCGGUCCGGUAAGUCAGCUGUGAAAGUCAAGGGCUCAACCCUUGAAUGCCGGUUGAUACUGCCGGACUAGAGUUCGGAAGAGGCGAGUGGAAUUCCCGGUGUAGCGGUGAAAUGCGCAGAUAUCGGGAGGAACACCUAUGGCGAAGGCAGCUCGCUGGGACGUUACUGACGCUGAGACGCGAAAGCGUGGGGAGCAAACAGG